rnacentral:rRNA from 1 species
CACUCCUACGGGAGGCAGCAGUGGGGAAUAUUGCACAAUGGGCGCAAGCCUGAUGCAGCCAUGCCGCGUGUAUGAAGAAGGCCUUCGGGUUGUAAAGUACUUUCAGCGGGGAGGAAGGCGAUAAGGUUAAUAACCUUGUUGAUUGACGUUACCCGCAGAAGAAGCACCGGCUAACUCCGUGCCAGCAGCCGCGGUAAUACGGAGGGUGCAAGCGUUAAUCGGAAUUACUGGGCGUAAAGCGCACGCAGGCGGUCUGUCAAGUCGGAUGUGAAAUCCCCGGGCUCAACCUGGGAACGGCAUUCGAAACUGGCAGGCUAGAGUCUUGUAGAGGGGGGUAGAAUUCCAGGUGUAGCGGUGAAAUGCGUAGAGAUCUGGAGGAAUACCGGUGGCGAAGGCGGCCCCCUGGACAAAGACUGACGCUCAGGUGCGAAAGCGUGGGGAGCAAACAGGAUUAGAAACCCCGGUAGUCCCAU